AACGUAGGUUCCGAGCGUUAUCCGGAUUUACUGGGCGUAAAGCGCGUUCAGGCGGUUUGGCAAGUCGGGCAUGAAAUCUCUCGGCUCAACCGGGAGAGGUUGUCCGAUACUGCUGGACUUGAGGGCAGUAGAGGGUGGUGGAAUUCCAGGUGUAGCGGUGAAAUGCGUAGAUAUCUGGAGGAACACCGGUGGCGAAGGCGGCAUCCUGGACCGAGAUUGACGCUGAUGCGCGAAAGCCAGGGGAGCAAACAGG
rnacentral:rRNA from 1 species